rnacentral:tRNA from 2 species
AAAUAAGAAACAAAUAAUUGUAUUUAGUUUCGACCUAAACCUAUGGUGGAAACCCACCCUUAUUUA